UGAGACGUCUUCUCUCUUUUUAAAAAAUUUGGUUUACUUUUGUUGUUGUUGUGUAUGCGUGUGAUUAAAAAAAAAAAAAGAUUCUGCGCCUUUCCCACCCUUUGCAAAAGACUUUCUUCUCCUUUGCCACAGCAAACGGAGAUGAGAAACAGCUGUGUUUGCAGGACCCGAGCAGUUCUUCUCCCCUCGCCGCCCGCCCCCGCCCGUUCCCCGCCGGAGCUGUGUGUGUGUAGUGUAUCAAAAAAGCAACCUUGGUCGGACUGCAACUGGAAUUGGCAACUCUUACUGGUGAUCCUCCGACUGUGAAAAACCAAACCUCUUGCUGCCUGGCUCCCUAGGAAUCAAGAAGAGGCACAGACUGAAAAUCAGGGAGGAAAGGAACAAGAUCAAGGAUGAGGAUUAGCAUCUGCAAAUUGAACCCUAUCUAAUUUGCAUGUUUAUUUCUUAGAAUUGUAAUUAAAUUUGUGUAAUAAAUGUUUUCCAUUUCAUUCCUAUGCUUAAAAUUUGGGUGACUGACGUGCAGUUAAGUGAAUUUUUUUUUCUUAAAGCAAAUGUAGUUUAUUCAAUAAAGCAGCAAACAAAUAUUAAACAUAAUUAGAACUAA
rnacentral:lncRNA from 1 species